rnacentral:lncRNA from 1 species
UGUGUGCUUCAACCGGGGCCCCCGGAGGGGUAAUUAAUAAGAAAGAUUGAAAUUGCUUUUCAUUCGACUUCCACACUGGAAUGCGAGCCAGCUGGCGAAGAAGUCAGACCAAGCCAGUUUAGAGAUUUCCAGUCGGUAAAUCCUGAGACUAGUUUACUUCAGACUUUUCCGGCUAGUCUAGGGCCCUAGACCUGGCGGAGAACU